CCCACCUUGGUCUCUGCCAAGUUUUUGGUUUUGUUUUCCUGGAAUGGCAAGGGCAUGACAGCUCAUUUUUCCAAAUUCAAAUCUCUUCUAGGCACAUAGUAUAACCUAAGGGGAAAAAACCCACAGGGAUCUCUGACACCCUGGCGUUGCUGUGUUCCAGGAGGGGGUGAGUGAGGGUUGACUGUGCUUGGAAUGUGGAAAGAGGCAGAAGACAGAAACGAGGGGACCUUGGGCAAGCACAGAUUCUGGACUUGCUCCCAUGGACUGGUGUUGCUAAGUGUGAUACGUGGAGGAAAGUUUUAUUUUCUAAUGUUAAUACCUAUAUAUUUAGCAUGUUUUGAAAACCUGAGUUGCUUUGGAUGAGGUUAAAGCAGUUUCCUUUACAAAUAAACUUUAGUAAGAAAAAGGAAUGCAUUUAAAGGGAAGUAUUGAGUUGACAGCAGGUGCUAGGCGCCAUAUUGAGCGAGUGUUCUUAUUCUACUGGGCAUCCAGCAAGUAGUACCGAUAUCUCCACUUAACCGUUGAGAAACCUCCUCAAUGUACAGUACAGCCGGAAAGCUCUGGAAUAGGAACUGACUCCGGGUAGGUCCGUCCUGUCCCAGGCCUGUUGUGUCCCCAGAAGCCGGGAGGCCGCGGCGCCUAACGUUGACUCUCGCCCAGAGAUUCCUGGUUUCUCCACCGCCCACGUGCAGAGGGAGCCCGGCCCGCAGUGCGCGCCGCGGCCACCAGGUGGCGCCACGAGCCUGGGAAAGCCGCUCCGCGUCGGAGGCCGCGGGGUCUCCGGGCCGGCCUCGCAGGGCCCCUGGGCGGGGCUGGGGCAUUGCGGGAGCGGCCCCAAGGGUGGGGGCGCUUUUUGCUAGUUGGAAAGGGACUCUGGGACUUAGUCCCCUGCUUCCCUUCCACCGCAGACGCUUAGCUGGGUGGGGAUACAGAAAAGCCUGGGUGCAUUCUCCAAAAGGAGUCUUCAACACAAUUUUCAAGUAAAUAUGUCAACCUGAGGGUUGUUAAGAUAAAAAGGAAAAGCCCUUCACAAGCCUGUGAACUCCUCCAAUACUUCAAGAAACAUCUGGAGUAUGAGCACCUAGUGCGGGAGGAGGGUGAGGAGGAGUCUUGCUUCCCACCAUUCCACCGUCCCCUUGGCUCCGCAACCCCAGGUUGACCCUAGGCCCUGGCUGUGGCCGUCACAGCUGAGCCUCCGUGGGCAGACCGGCCUGGGGGCCCCGCCCCGGGCUGCGUGCUCCCACCCCAGUGUAAUCCUCCCCACGGCUCCGCAGGGGCGAAUAUUCCCGCUUCGCAGGCAGGCCCCAGUGCAGCUAAGUGGUGGGUUUGGACCCAGGUGUCUCAGCAGCCAAAGGCAUUCCACCACACCGCUUGUGAGUUAGCGAUUUAGUGUCCGGUGUGAUGAGUUAGGAGGGUUGGGAGAGCACGGCAGCAGGAAACUUCCAUCUGGGGAGAUCCAGGAAGGCUUUGACGGCCGGCUGGGGCUCCCGGAGCGGCACUGCAGGCGGAGGGACCCGCAGCCGCGCUGGCGUGAGGUCUUAAUCAUUUUCUGAGUGGUCACUGAAACCCAACAUGGAGAAAAAAAUAUCAAGAGUGACUGAUAUGUUCAAGGCAGAGUUUUAGAAGAUGAAAAGCUGCUGACAGCAAGGUUAGGAAGUCUACAAGGAGAAAAUGUACUUCAGAUGCCCACACCAGCAAUUUCAUAGGUUUUAAAAAGGAAAAGAUGCCAACAGGGCUCACAGAGAAAUGAGCUUUGUGAGAAGGAUAACAAAGCAGGAGUGAAAAUACAAAUGUGAAAGGCCAACAGGAUGAAGGUGGGAAGAUGUAAGUACCGUAAACAUUCUAUUAAUUAGAAAUGGCUAUUCUGUGUUACCACACAGACAUAUGGAUUAGAACUACAGGAAGCCACUAUUACAGAUUCACAGACCGCUACACAGAAGCACAGGUGAUGAAGAGGUCAGGCUUUUUCCACAGCUACUGUAGGGUGGCAUACGGUCAACAGUGAAUUCUGGAGUCUAGAGUAAGUGAAUACUUUGGUCCACAGCUCUCCUACUUACUAGCUAGUUUGCUUCUGGGCAAAGUACUUCUACGAUGGCUUAGCUGGCCUCCUACUUCAUACAAUGGGAAUAACAAGAAACUGAUCUACACCUCAUAAGGUUGUUAAUAGAUAAAGUAUCAACACAAUGCUUGGCACACAAGCACUAAAUAAAUGGUAGUUAUUACUACUUUUAUUACUUCUUAUACACUUAAAAUACUUCAGUAUUAACAUAAGUUUGUGAUUUUCCCUUGCUCUCUACAAAGCAAGCUGGUGUGAUCAAAGAAUCAGGGACUGUAUUUGGGUCUUGAAAACUAUCAAAACCAAAGACCGAAGAAACAAUUUUCCAGAGCAAAUAACCAGUCCCAACGGGACAGAUUUCACUGUGGUAGUCAUCCCUUUUACUUUACUUGUAAGUACAGUUGACCCUUGAACAAUGUGGGGGUUAGGGGCACAACUGAAAAUCCAAAUAUAACUUAAAUGCCCAAAAAUGUAACUACAAAUAGUCUAGUGUUGACUGGAAGCCUUACCAACAACAAACAGUUGAGUAAUAUAUAUGCUGUAGGUUAUACAUAUUAAAUGCUGUAUUCUAUCAAUAAAAAAUUAGAGAAAAGAAAAUGUUAAAAUCAUAAAAUACAUUUAUAGUAUUGUACUGUUUACUGAAGAAAAUCCACAUUAAGUAGACCUGUGUGGUUCAAAAGUCAAUUGUACUUUGUUUUAAGCACAAUUUAUGAAAAGAAUUAUUCACAAAACCUAUUUACAUAAAUUUAAUAC